rnacentral:lncRNA from 1 species
AAAAAUAGCGUUGUUUUCUUUUGGGGCGAUAAAAAGAUCGAGGGACUUAGAAUUUUUUAUUUUCUUUCAGAAAAAACGGUCGGUAGGUAUACAAAUUAUUUUUUUUCCCACAUCAGUUUUAAAAACUUUUGAGUCGGGGGUCUGAAGGACGGUCGGUCAGGUGACCGGAAACACAACAUUUUUUUUUUUUUAGGCCUAAACAA